CCCAGGCCCCGCCCACCCGGGCGGGCCGCGGCCGUUGGGGCGGACGCGCGCGCGCGCGUGCCGGGAGGGGGGCGACGGCGGCUAGCGGCGGCGGCGCGCGCCUCGGCGAGGAUAAGACCAGGAGUUGCCUGGAUGGCAGAACAAUCAAAUAUUCCACGCAUCACUCUGCUGCCGGAGGCCUUACUCUCUUGCUGAGCAUUUUUUUCCAUUCUGAGGACGUAUAGCUGCUUCCUAGAGAUACAUUCAUGCUUUUCAUUUUCUGUGUUUUGAUGCUUUGUUUUUUGAAGGGACUUAUCUUUAAUUGGUUGCAGAAAUCAAAAUUCUUCAUGAACAUGAAUGAAAUUCCAGAAGACAGAGGUUCCUAUUUCUAACAUCCCUUGAAUUUUGUGUCCCGGGAAAACAGAAGAAGAAAUUAUGUCUCUGCUCUCCUUGUUGCUUAUCACACAUUUCUAUAAGACCAAAGAUCACUUAAAACUAAAAUGCACUUUCUCUUACAUACCUUCCUAUUUUCAAUUGUCUCAACUUGUCAGUUGACUAUUUUCCCAGUACACUUCAUGACAGAUGCUGAAGUUAGGGCUUCUCUACUGCUUCCAUUUCUACUCAAUUUUGGUUUUUUAUAAAGUUUUAUGUAUUUUUGAGGCAACUUAAGCAUGAGUACCAUUGCUUAAAUGAAAGCCUGUUUGCCUGUCUGCCUGUUUGCCUGUUUGCCUGUAAUGAACAUGUAGGAAAAAGUUUUUUCCUUUAAGAGAAAAGAGUCUAUGUUUUCAGCAGAAACAGAAGUUGAUUCACGUAAUGACAUUUUGCUGUUUAACUUUCAUCUUCUCACUGCUGCGAUAGCACUAUUUUUACCUAGAAAUCAAAGCUUUACUGGGGGGAUGGUUAUUUUGUUGUUCAUAAUUUCCAGCCCUUUUUACCAUUUGAAAUUGCGUAGAAAAUGAGACCUUUCAUCUGAUUCUCAACCGUGUUGGUAUUUUGGGUAUAUUCAUUUUAUAUGGCCCCUAAUGGGGUCCUUAUGCUUUGAACCAUCAAUAAAAAGUCAGAGACUCA